rfam:Myotis brandtii contig168325, whole genome shotgun sequence.
GGCGGUUCUCGGGUGACACACCUCGGAAUCAGGCUCCCUCCUCUUCGAUUCCGGGUGUGUCACCCAAGAACCACA